rnacentral:misc_RNA from 1 species
AACCUAGCACACCUGCGGUGUGUACCUGCGGAGGGAUCAUUAACCUUUCAAAUCAGGGUGCGGCGCGGCCCCCGAGGAGCGGAAACAAUCCUUGGGAGGUAUGCGGGGGCUUCGAGCCCCCCAUUUACGCACGCACGACUGCCAUCCUUACUUUACGAGCACCUUCUGUUCUCCCUCGGCGGGGCAACCUGCCGUUGGAACCGAAUAAACUCUUUUUACAUCUAGCAUUACCUGUUCCGA